GACGUACUGCGCGAACGUUAUUCGGAAUCACUGGGCUUAAAGGGUGCGCAGGCGGCUCGCCAAGCCCGAAGUGAAAUGCCCCGGCCUAACCGGGGACGUGCUUCGGGGACUGGCGGGCUCGGGCGAGCUAGGGGUCUGUGGAACUCCCGGUGGAGCGGUGAAAUGUGUUGAGAUCGGGAGGAACGCCGGUGGCGAAAGCGACAGACUGGGGCUUUGCCGACGCUCAUGCACGAAAGCCAGGGGAGCGAACGGG
rnacentral:rRNA from 1 species